AGAUUUAAUAUUCAGUUAUAGCUUCACUAUGAACAAAUACAAACUUUUUCUCUAAAAUAUUUAUGGAUAGGAUAAGAAACAAGGGAAAAAACGGAGAAAGAAGAAGUAUCGCUCCUUGCGGAAAUCUUCUGAAAGCUCUACAUCUGAUUCUGAAUCAGACAGCAAGGACAGCACAAAAAAGAAAAAAUCAAAGGAAGAACAUGAAAGAGAAAAGGACAACAAAAGUCUUAGUAGGAAAAGGAAGAAAAUUGAUCGUGGGAAUGGACCUUUAUCAUCUGAGUCCUUAUCAGAGUCAGAUCCUACAGAGGAGGUGCAAGUGAAAAAGAAAAAAAACAGUGAAGAAAGAGAGAAAGAUAAAACAAAAAAGAGAAAGAAGCACAAGAAACAUGGGAAAAAGAAGAAAAAGAAGACAGCUGGUUCAAGUUCAGAUUCAGAAUAACACUUAAAAAUCAAGCCUGUCCCUUCAACAAAAGUGCAAUGACUAAAGGAAACUUCAACUGUGAAAAUUAUCGCAAACUUUACCACACUGCAUGAGUUUUCCAGUGUUUUAGAAAUAUUACUAGACUUUCAAUAGCCAGCCAGGUGCUAAUGUGCCCAAAAAAUCCAUUGUUGUUGCCUGCUGCUUAAUACCUGGGGUACAAUUUUUUUUUUUUAUUAUAGUAGCCAGUGUUAGUUUAAAAUCAUGAGAGAGGGUGGUCCAGCUAAUAUGUAAAAUAUUAGGAAAUAGAGUGCAACUUUUAGAUACUAAAAAUAGUGUUUUAACAAGUUAGUAAUAUAGUCCAAUUUUUAAAUCUGCAGAAAUAAAAUCAAAAAUUCAUCUUGAAGAGGAAUAUAA
rnacentral:lncRNA from 1 species